UCGAGCGAAGCACUUUUGCGGAUUUCUUCGGAUUGAAGCAACUGUGACUGAGCGGCGGACGGGUGAGUAACGCGUGGGUAACCUGCCUCAUACAGGGGGAUAACAGUUGGAAACGGCUGCUAAUACCGCAUAAGCGCACAGUACCGCAUGGUACGGUGUGAAAAACUCCGGUGGUAUGAGAUGGACCCGCGUCUGAUUAGGUAGUUGGUGGGGUAACGGCCUACCAAGCCGACGAUCAGUAGCCGACCUGAGAGGGUGACCGGCCACAUUGGGACUGAGACACGGCCCAAACUCCUACGGGAGGCAGCAGUGGGGAAUAUUGCACAAUGGGGGAAACCCUGAUGCAGCGACGCCGCGUGAGCGAUGAAGUAUUUCGGUAUGUAAAGCUCUAUCAGCAGGGAAGAAAAUGACGGUACCUGACUAAGAAGCCCCGGCUAACUACGUGCCAGCAGCCGCGGUAAUACGUAGGGGGCAAGCGUUAUCCGGAUUUACUGGGUGUAAAGGGAGCGUAGACGGCAUGGCAAGCCAGAUGUGAAAGCCCGGGGCUCAACCCCGGGACUGCAUUUGGAACUGUCAGGCUAGAGUGUCGGAGAGGAAAGCGGAAUUCCUAGUGUAGCGGUGAAAUGCGUAGAUAUUAGGAGGAACACCAGUGGCGAAGGCGGCUUUCUGGACGAUGACUGACGUUGAGGCUCGAAAGCGUGGGGAGCAAACAGG
rnacentral:rRNA from 1 species